rnacentral:ncRNA from 1 species
CGCGAAGCAUUUGCCAAGUACGUUCUCGUAUGAUCAAGAACGAAAGUUAGAGGUUCGAAGGCGAUCAGAUACCGCCCUAGUUCUAACUGUAAACGAUGCCAGCUAGCGAUCCGCCGGCGUUUCAUUAACGACCCGGCGGGCAGCUUCCGGGAAACCGAAGCUUUUCGGUUCCGGGGGAAGUAUGAUUGCAAAGUUGAAACUUAAAGGAAUUGACGGAAGGGCACCACCAGGAGUGGAGCCUGCGGCUUAAUUUGACUCAACACGGGAAACCUCACCAGGCCCGGACACCGGAAAGAUUGACAGAUUGAGAGCUCUUUCUUGAUUCGGUGGGUGGUGGUGCAUGGCCGUUCUUAGUUGGUGGAGCGAUCUGUCUGGUUAAUUCCGAUAACGAACGAGACUCUGUCCUGCUAACUAGGCGGGUAAACCCGGGUCGGCGUGUGCGCGGCGCUGGCGGUUUCGGCCGUCAGUGUUCGCGUACCCGUCGGCUCGGCCCGGUAUCCCCGAACGCGUUCGCCCGUCGUCCACGGCGGUCGUCGGGCGCGGCCGCGCCAUCCGCGUCCCGGCGUUCGGCGGGCGUAUGUCGGCCGGGGGGCAACCUCCGGUCGGCCUGCGUCCGUCGUGCGUCGGGCUCCGUGGUGAAGCGCGCCGUGUUCGCGGCCGUCGCCGGCGGAUCACGAUACGUUACUAGGGCUACCGCCGGCUCCCAGGAGCUUAAACUCUUCUUAGAGGGACAGGCGGCGGACGAUAUAGCCGCACGAGACUGAGCGAUACAGGUCUGUGAUGCCCUUAGAUGUUCUGGGACCGCACGCGCGCUACACUGAAAGGAAUC